ACACUUACCUGGGCGGGGUCAAUGGGUGAUCAACAAGUCCCAUGGCCUAGAAUGGAGGCUCACAUUGCACUCUGGGUGCUCCACUCUAACUUCUCCCUCAGUGGGAAGGGAGACUGUACGUCACAAUUUGUGGAAGUGGGGGCCUGCGUUCGCCCGGCCCCUGC